CCCACUUACAAGAAUUAAAACAUACCCAAAUAGCUAAAUAAAUAUUACAUCGAUUAUCACAGUAUCAAUAUCCAUAUCAUUUUCCAGAUAAUCACUAUUCAGGAGUCCAAAAAUUAUUUACAUUUAUACAAACAGAAGCUCGGGAUAACCUUUCAAGAGCAGGUGGAGGGACUAAUGGCCACCUGAGUAGUAUUGAUAAACAAUCAGAACAGCCAGUGGGUCCACAUGUGUUUCCAAUGGGAUUACAAUAUUGACCAGUUUCCCAUAAAGCAUGCAAGGCCACUGCUGAGCACCUAUAGGUUUUUGUAGUGUUACUCAGGAUUCUGACACACAACUACAGGGUUUGCUAUAGUAUUCAAGUGUGGACUGUUCAGGGAAAAUUUCAAGCUGGGGAAAACAAAAGAAAAACAACAACAAAAAAACAUUUCUUUUCAGUGAUUUUUUUCUCCUGUAAUGUAAAAUUCACAUUGAAUUUCUAAUAAGUCAUACUUAUUAAUAGCAAUAGCAGUUCUCAUCUGUAUCCUGUUUUGCUUAUUAACAAUUCUAAAAGCAUGGUAUUUUAAUGGUCUGAGGGUGCAUACAAUACUUUGAGACAUAACACUGAGACAUUAAGCUCUAGGAAAUGGUGAUCGCUUAAAUGAGAGGAGUUGAAUGAUUGAUGGGUUUGGGGCAUUUAGCAGGCUGCUAUAUUCUAAAAAGGAUAGAAAAUAUCAAAGAAUGGAUGACUUAGGCUAUAGUUACUCUUAUUUAUAUUUUAGAAUGGAUGUUUCCAACCCAAUUCACAAAAACCCUAAAUAAUUCAG